AAAUGAAUAGACGGGCACCCGCACAAGCGGUGGAGCAUGCUGUUUAAUUCGAAGAUACGCGAAGAACCUUACCUAGACUUGACAUCCCUGGCAAAGCUAUAGAAAUAUAGUGGAGGUUACCCGGGUGACAGGUGGUGCAUGGUUGUCGUCAGCUCGUGUCGUGAGAUGUUCGGUUAAGUCCGAUAACGAGCGCAACCCUUGUCGUUAGUUACUAACAUUUAGUUGAGUUCUCUAACGAGACUGCCGGUGACAAACCGGAGGAAGGUGGGGAUGACGUCAAAUCAUCAUGCCCCUUACGUCUAGGGCUACAGGCGUGCUACAAUGGCCGUGACAAAGAGACGCAAUACCGUGAGGUGGAGCAAAUCUCAAAAAACGGUCUCAGUUCGGAUUGAAGUCUGCAACUCGACUUCAUGAAGUUGGAAUCGCUAGUAAUCGUGGAUCAGCACUGCCACGGUGAAUACGUUCCCGGGUGUUGUACACACCGCCCGU
rnacentral:rRNA from 1 species